rfam:Schistosoma haematobium scaffold138_19, whole genome shotgun sequence.
GCACUGCUGAAGAGUCCCGAAAUCGAACGAAACGACCGUCCAGUGU